UGAGAAUUAAUUUGCUAAUAUUUAAAAAUUGUAAAAAUUAAAUAUAUUUUAUUAAAUUAGAGAAAUUAAAUAGUGGUUUACUUAAUCCCUAUCAAGAAGUUGAAUAUCUAAAAGCAGGUAGAAAAAUCUGGCAGGUAGAAUACAAGGAGGUCACGGUAUAUCAAAAUCCAUUUGGAUUGAAAGAGACCCACAUGGCUCAGAAUCCAAGGUCCAAAUCCCUCCAACCCCAUGUGAAAUUUGCAUACUUUAAUUUCUUUUACAGGUUCACAAAACACUUGUCCCUACCACCUGUUUGACGAAAUG
rnacentral:lncRNA from 1 species